CCUACGGGGGGCAGCAGUGGGGAAUAUUGGACAAUGGGGGGAACCCUGAUCCAGCCAUGCCGCGUGUGUGAAGAAGGCCCUCGGGUUGUAAAGCACUUUCAGUGAGGAAGAACGCCUGGUGGUUAAUACCCAUCAGGAAAGACAUCACUCACAGAAGAAGCACCGGCUAACUCCGUGCCAGCAGCCGCGGUAAUACGGAGGGUGCGAGCGUUAAUCGGAAUUACUGGGCGUAAAGCGCGCGUAGGUGGCUUGAUAAGCCGGUUGUGAAAGCCCCGGGCUCAACCUGGGAACGGCAUCCGGAACUGUCAAGCUAGAGUGAAGGAGAGGAAGGUAGAAUUCCCGGUGUAGCGGUGAAAUGCGUAGAGAUCGGGAGGAAUACCAGUGGCGAAGGCGGCCUUCUGGACUGACACUGACACUGAGGUGCGAAAGCGUGGGUAGCAAACAGGAUUAGAUACCCCUGUAGUC
rnacentral:rRNA from 1 species